GAUGAACGCUGGCGGCGUGCCUAAUACAUGCAAGUCGAGCGAACAGACGAGGAGCUUGCUCCUCUGACGUUAGCGGCGGACGGGUGAGUAACACGUGGAUAACCUACCUAUAAGACUGGGAUAACUUCGGGAAACCGGAGCUAAUACCGGAUAAUAUAUUGAACCGCAUGGUUCAAUAGUAAAAGACGGUUUUGCUGUCACUUAUAGAUGGAUCCGCGCCGCAUUAGCUAGUUGGUAAGGUAACGGCUUACCAAGGCAACGAUGCGUAGCCGACCUGAGAGGGUGAUCGGCCACACUGGAACUGAGACACGGUCCAGACUCCUACGGGAGGCAGCAGUAGGGAAUCUUCCGCAAUGGGCGAAAGCCUGACGGAGCAACGCCGCGUGAGUGAUAAAGGUCUUCGGAUCGUAAAACUCUGUUAUUAGGGAAGAACAAAUGUGUAAGUAACUAUGCACGUCUUGACGGUACCUAAUCAGAAAGCCACGGCUAACUACGUG
rnacentral:rRNA from 1 species